AACGAACGCUGGCGGCGCGCCUAAUACAUGCAAGUCGAGCGAGAAGACGUAGCAAUACGUUUGUAAGGCGGCGAACGGGUGAGGAAUACAUGGGUAACCUACCCUCGAGUGGGGAAUAACUAGCCGAAAGGUUAGCUAAUACCGCGUACGCUCCUUGGACUUCGGUUCAGGGAGGAAAGCGAUACCGUGGGUAUCGCGCUCUUGGAUGGGCUCAUGUCCUAUCAGCUUGUUGGUGAGGUAACGGCUCACUAAGGCUUCGACGGGUAGCUGGUCUGAGAGGACGAUCAGCCACACUGGCACUGCGACACGGGCCAGACUCCUACGGGAGGCAGCAGUAAGGAAUAUUGCGCAAUGGGCGAAAGCCUGACGCAGCGACGCCGCGUGGGGGAUGAAGGUCUUCGGAUUGUAAACCCCUUUCGGGAGGGAAGAUGGAACGAGCAAUCGUUCGGACGGUACCUCCAGAAGCAGCCACGGCUAACUUCGUGCCAGCCGCCGCCGUAAU
rnacentral:rRNA from 1 species